UUUAGCCUGGGCUUGAGCGCGCGCAGAAGUCAGCUUCGUGACUUCCUUCUCAGGAUGGAACCAGCUUGGUGGCUUGAGGGUAUGGGUUCUGAGUUGCAAAUCAGAAACUUGAAGAUGAAAUGGCUACUACGCUGGGUAUUGCCUUUAUCUUGAAUGCCAGCCUGAUGGUCCAAGGUGAACAAGCCUUCCUGUGUUUUCUGAAUGUUCCCCCGCACUUUGCCUGCCACCAUGUAAGAUGUGUCUUUGCGCCUCCUUUGCCUUCCACCAUGAUUGUGCGGCCUCCCCAGCCAUGUGGAACGCAGACACAACUCUUCACCAGUGCACAAAACCUGAUGAGAAGGAUACAGACUGGAUUUUGGUCCAGCUUGCUGCUUAACUAGGUUCCCUUGCACAACGCACAACCUGUGCAAUGAUUAUGCAGUGAAAUUGAUGGCCAUUACCUAACGUGGCUUCAGUGACCAUGUUUUCAAAACUGGGAGUCAGAGUGCAUGGCUUGACAUCAAGGCUUUGUGUCACAAAGCAGAAGAUCAUUAAUCUGGGAGUUGACAACAUUGGAAGCACCUAAACAAGUUGAUUAUUCAUACAAGAUUUUUUUCAAGUAUUCAUUUAAAACUAUGCAGUUAAAGGUGGUGCAUGUCCUGUUCUAAUUGGUAGGCUGGAAAUGAUGGUAUGGAGAUGUUGCACCACGUGGUCCCUUCACUAGAGGAAGAGUGGUAUGAAUCGUGUCCGUCACUGUGACACCAUGCAGUCUUCCUGGCAGUACACAAGUUGUGAGAGUUUGCUACCAUUUUUACAUUUUUGUGAUUUAAAGUGUUGAAUAACAAUUAAUAAUGUCAUACAUACUAAAA
ensembl:lncRNA RPAP3-DT RPAP3 divergent transcript